UACGUAGGGGGCAAGCGUUGUCCGGAUUUAUUGGGCGUAAAGAGCGUGUAGGCGGCCGUACAGGUCAGCUGUGAAAACUCGAGGCUCAACCUCGAGACGUCGGUUGAAACCGUACGGCUAGAGUCCGGAAGAGGAGAGUGGAAUUCCCGGUGUAGCGGUGAAAUGCGCAGAUAUCGGGAAGAACACCCGUGGCGAAGGCGGAUCUCUGGGCCAUUACUGACGCUGAGGAGCGAAAGCGUGGGGAGCGAACAGG
rnacentral:rRNA from 1 species